rnacentral:lncRNA from 1 species
UCAGCCCUCCAGGACGGAGUGAAAUCCCCUUGCCUCCUGCUGCAAAGGCAGAGGGAGGUGCACAGAGGAGGCUGGGUAGGGGGUGCCUGUCUUGGCAGAGGAAGACACACACACAGCCCCCUUGGGGCUCAGGGAGCUUUCCGCCCUCCUCUCUGGCAGAGGCAGCCUCCUUCUCCUCAGGGGGUUCCUUUCAAUGUUAAUGAGACUAAGAAGCCUCAAGGGCCCAUCCCCGAGUCCAGCGGAAGGCUCAACUCCACCAUGCGCUACCACUCAAGGACACUGAGCCUUCUUUGUGGCUGUUGGGCUGGGGAGAAACACAGGAUGUAAGCAGUGGCCUCCUCUGCUACCACAUCCAGACCUAUGAACCCCUGGCAGCUGGAGCCACAGAGAACAUGUCUUCAGAUAGAGAGCCGAUUUCCUUUGAGCAGUCUUUUCUCCAGAUUAAACAUACUUAAUUCCUUCCACAUGUCCUAUAUGACUAGUUACCAGACUUGUCACCAUCCUGGUCACCCUUGUCUGGACACUCUCCAGGGUGUCAACGUGCCUCUUGGGGUUUGACACAAUGCAGCAAGUGUGGUCUGCCCUUCUACUAAGGGAGUCUAAAU